GCCUGGCUGGCCCAGUCGGUAGAGCAUGUGUCUCUGAAUCUCCGGGCUGUGAGUUCAAGCCCCACGUUGGGUG
rnacentral:tRNA from 1 species